rnacentral:rRNA from 1 species
GAUGAACGCUGGCGGCGUGCCUAAUACAUGCAAGUCGAGCGAACGGACGAGAAGUUUGCUUCUCUGAUGUUAGCGGCGGACGGGUGAGUCACACGUGGAUACCCUCCCUAUAAGACUGGGAUCACUUCGGGAAACCGGAGCUAACACCGGAUAAUAUUUUGCACCGCAUUGUUCAAAAGUGAAAGACGGUCUUGCUGUCUCUUAUAGAUGGAUCCGCGCUGCAUUAGCUAGUUGGUAAGGUAACGGCUUACCAAGGCAACGAUGCAUAGCCGACCUGAGAGGGUGAUCGGCCACACUGGAACUGAGACACGGUCCAGACUCCUACGGGAGGCAGCAGUAGGGAAUCUUCCGCAAUGGGCGAAAGCCUGACGGAGCAACGCCGCGUGAGUGAUGAAGGUCUUCGGAUCGUAAAACUCUGUUAUUAGGGAAGAACAUAUGUGUAAGUAACUGUGCACAUCUUGACGGUACCUAAUCAGAAAGCCACGGCUAACUACGUG